rnacentral:lncRNA from 1 species
UUUUGAUUCGUGUUUUAAAAAAAAAAUUUAGAAAGUCCUCUGAAAGAGGAAGGAAAAGGGGCCCUCGGAGCUCUGGCCAAGCCUCCGUCAUCGGGCGGUUCACGCGCUUUACGUGCCCACGCGCCGCCCUUUUCGCCGUCGUACACGACCUUCAGAGGUUAGAGACCUCGAUUUCUGACACAAGAUGAAAGGUAAAACCCUUUUUCACACUUUAAAACUAUUUAUCAAGUUGUUUGUGUAUGUAUAUGCUUUGAAUAUGAAAAAUAAAAAUAAAAUAGAAGAUUCACCUCUUAAAAAAAAACUGCUUGUAUUUGCUUUUUUUCUGCCUCCAUAUUCGUAUCUUUUAUAGGUUACAAAAAGGGCUUUUAUAGCCACUGUUUCUAUUACAUUUUGGGAAAGAAAUAUUUUAUUUCUUUCCAUAUCUAUUUUGUUCGUUUGCUGCUGUUUCUUUCCUUCUUUUGCAGGUAACGCCGAAAAAUUUGGCGGUGAUGGAGGCUUGACGAUGGUGACGACAGACCAGUCACUGACUGCGCACUGGCUUGCAGCGCUGAUGGAGGGUAGCUGGAUCGACGAACGGACACGAGUCGGAGGGGCGUGACUCUUGGUCUGAUUACGGCGCAAACCCUAACUAGGGUUCCCUGAAGCCGAAGAUAGAUUGGGCCAAUUGGGCCGAUUAAGUCCUGGGUUCAGGGGUAGGGUGUAAAUGGGUCUACUGGGAAAUUCUAAUUUUAGGCCUACGGUCUGUUGUAAAUGGACUGUUUAAAUAUUUAUUUAUUAUUUUUUAUUUUUUAAGGCUCGGGCAGAUUUGGGCUAUUACAGCCAUUGUUUAUUAUCAACCCGUUCCGACUCAGAAAUUCUGAGUUCAUUAUUUAUUUAAUAUUAAAAUGUAAAAAAUAUUAUUUAUGUAAUUUAACUUAGACUCAAUGAUUUACUUGGUUCUCUAAUUUUACAAAAAAAAGUCAUUUUAGCCCAUAGUUUAACUUGUCUUUUAGCCAUUAAACUUGUGGUCUUUGUUAAAUAACCCCAAAAUGGAUAAAAAAAUUAACGUCUGUUAACUUUGCUAAUGUGGCAUCCACG